GUUCUCCCUGAUGCGGUCGCGUGCUGCUGUUGCUGCUUGCCGGGCGCCUUUAACAUGUUUUCGGCUGGCUUUGUCUGUGCGUGUGUGCGCGCUCGCGCUCGAUUCGUGUGUGUGCGUGCGCUCAGCUCAGCUCGCUUUGUGUGUGUGUGUGUGUGUGUGUGUGCAUGCGUGCGUCUUGCGCGCGCAUACAUGCCGGUUUGUAUGGGCCGGCGUGCUUGCGUGUGUCUAGUGCGUACGUGUUUUGUGAGCGUGUUUCUGUGUGGGUCACUGUGUGUGCGUGCACGUGUUCGCGUGUCUGCCUGCAUGUAUGUGUGAUUGUUUGUGUUUAUCAAUGUGCGCGUGCGUGCCUUUGUGUCUGCGCUUUGAGAGUGCGUAUAUUUGUAUGCGCGCGAGUGCGUUUUGUGUGCGUGCGUAUGUAUUGCAUAAGGCCGGUAGAGUUUUACUCGCAAUAAAACUCUUCCAAUUUGGUGCAGCGAGUGUUGCCGCCUGAAAGCCGAGUUUGGUUUCAAGCCAACCUGGACAACUGCUGUAUGAGGCGCUGUUUCUCAGGAGGAUCAGUGGGAAGGCGUCAGGUCAUGCAGAUGAUAGCAUCAAUUUCACAAUGCCCAGCCUUGGUGCCCUCCAUUAAGAGCAAGCCACUUGCGUUCGCCUUCAGGCAGAUGGUUGAUGUCUUCUAGGAAGCAGUUGGGAAGACUACAUUGAUGCAAGAUUCCAGCAAUGCCAUGCGCUGCAUUUAUUCGUCAAGAUGCUCAGAGAAUGGAGUCCCUGCACCUCGUGGUGAAACGUGAACAUUUUUUUUCUUUUGGAAAGCUAAACGUCAUUUGCUGUAUCAAUUGCAUUCUUGCAGCUCAGAUGUGUACUAUAUUUUUUCUCAUUUUGAAUAAAUUAUUAUUCACUGUUCAGUAUAAAAAUGACGUACAGUGUGAAGGACAAGGACUGCGAGAGACGACAUACACUGCGCUGACUUCCAACAAUAUUUUAUUGCGUUGCCACAUCGUGUGUUUAUACACAAGGGCCAUGCGCAGAAAAUGAAAGGCAGUCA